rnacentral:lncRNA from 1 species
CACUUUACAGACCAGGCAGGAAUUUGUAAAGCAUCUGUGUAUCCUUUAGUGCCAAGGUGCCAAGCAAAUGGGUCAAGACUACAGGUGGUGAAAAUAAUUAGGAAGACAAGACACAUCAUUUUGAUAAACUCAUUAACAACAAUAACAACCUCUAUUUCAUCCUAAGAGCUCUGAGGCUAAUCCAGCAGUUUUAUUUCUGAGUAUUCUUGAGUGUGACUUUUAAAAAAAUCUCUUUGACUAAUUCACAGCUUUCUAUUUGGGGAAAAGACUUGAGAGGUGCUGCUAAUGAAGACAAAUGAAGGAAAAGGAACUUGACCCCAGAGUAUGAAAUUUUGCUCAUUAAUUUGCGCUUCCAGUUGGCUGAUUGAUAUUAUUUGGAUGUAGAUGGGGUAAUUAAUGACAGGAAGUAAUGCAGCAGGAUACAAGUUGUGCAGAAUGCAUCUUGGUCCUAGUUACCAGUGAUCCACAUCAGGAAAUAUGAGCACCACAGCUGCAAACAAAGGGCAUCGAUGAUGAGAGACCUGGAAGUGUAUUUGUCAGUCUGCUCCUACCCACUGUCUGCUUUAUUUCCUCACAUCUUGCCUCCCUCUUCAGUGCCAGAGGACUGUCCAGAUCAGCCUUACAGAGCUCCCACCCCAACACUGGUGAUUCCUCCUUUAUCUCAUCUUAGUGCAAUCACCUUUCAUUACUUGCCUGCUUCAUUCUGACCCUGACAAGGUGCUGGACUGCUGUUGGGCUGUCCUCUCAAAGUUGUGGGUUUGAAGGGUCCUUGCUGAGAAGGGUCUCUACAUCUCUCUUGCCUUAACAAUGUUCUAGGCCUUGGCUAUUAACCAAAAUAUAAGCACUCCUACCACCUCUGCCUGUGCUUCAGCAGACAUGCAUUAAUCUGUACUCAAAUACACAAGUUAGGUGGUAAAGGACAAGAAAUGUUUUUACCCCUUGAAUGAGUGCUGCUCUUGCUGCAGCUAAGGCAGAUUAUCAGGGCAUUGAGCACUCCUCUCCACGAGUGCUUACCCAGGGAUUGGUUACUUUCAUUACUGCUCACCCAGGG